ensembl:lncRNA
UGGGAGAGCAGAGGAGGAACAGCCCAGCUGAAGGCACGGUAGGCACUGUAGAAGUCCAGCCUGCUAUUUGCUCAUUGCAACACAGCAAACGUGUGGCCUAGCUGUGAUGAAACUGGCCGUGGGAGCAAGAGAUCUGGCUGGAGAGGGCAAAACAACAUGCCUGUUCCCAAAAAUGGGAGGUUUUUUGUGAACUUAAGCAUGAGAAGGUUAUAACUUUCCAUUCAGAAGCCAAUGAAGAUGUUUACCAUGAUGGUUUAAGCCCUCCCCAAAGAAGAAAGAUAGUGCAUGGCUGUUCUCUUGGACGAUGGAUGCAAGUACAUGGCUUAGAUUAUCUAUUUCUAGAUUGGCAGAAGGAAGGAAUGCCAUCCAAGGGGACCUCGAUAAACUUGAAAGGUGAAACUAUCUGGAAGCAUCCAGCAUUCAAGGCUGGUAGAGGAGCUCCAACAAAAUCUCACUAGCUUGGAAUUAAAAAAAAGCAAACUUGACCUGAAUGCAAAACCCUUCAGAAAUACAAUUUCCUUCUUGGGGCACACACAAAUCAGGCACAGAUGCAGCAAUGUCUCCUCGCCUUCCAGGUGGGGAGCAGCAACUGGUUGCAAUGCAUUUUCCUAGCUCACCUAAAUUGCAAAGUCUGAUACUUAAGUCUUUGUGUAUCUGCAAGAUGACCAAAUACCAUCUGCCUCUCUUGGAGUUAUUUUUCUUGUUGUCCAAACAGGAAAAAUAGAAUGGAUGCUUCUAAUAUUCUUAAAAUCAAAUAAUUCUGAACCACUACCAGCUCACCCAAUGAGGAUUUCUUGGAAGUUAACAACCUAAGCAAUGACUCAGCUACCUCCUAGUUUUCUCUGAAGACGUCACAGCCCAUAAUGAACUGCUCUGUAUAAUUUCCUC